AUCCCGGGAGGCUGCGCGGAAAGUUGCCCUAAAAAAGAGGCGGCAUCGCUGGCGGUGUCGAACGGUCCCGAGCCGCGGUGCUGCCGCAGCCGCUGUGGCCCCUCGGAGCGCCGCUACUUUGUUUGGCUUAACCAUUGCCUUCCCGCGCUGUGUACUCUGCGCCCAGCUGUGAAGGGUUCAGUCUCUUCCCCAGAUGAUUUCUAACUGAAUGUGAAAGUACGGGUCAGUUUGAAAUACCGGCUAAUCAAAAACUCUCUGCUUAGUUUCACGCCUCAUGGUUCUGGGGCUUGGUUGUUUGUUGUGUCCAGAAACAAACAAGAAAGUGUUGAGAGCAGCUCCUGGGGAUAUUUUCAAGCAUGAUAUUAUACAGCGAGCUGGCAUAUUCACGAAACGACAGGAAACUGGAAUAAAAUGAGUUUCGCUUUCAGCUUUCCCACGACUCCUCCUCGGCAGAGCAAAUGUUACCAGCAAAGAGCACAUCUGGAACAGCGUGCUGGCUGCCAUGGACCAGUCAAUAUCCCUGCCUGAACACAGACCUCUAGUUUUCCUGGGAGUUGAUGUACCUUUAUAUGCCCCUGUAUGUUUUUCCUUUUUUGGUUUUGGGAUCUUUUUUCCCAAAUCACCAGGUUCUCCUUUAACCAGAUGAAUAACUCCACCGAUGUGCAUCAAGGCCACUCAGUGAGCACUUAUGUCUGAAGCUGCACAGGUGAAUGCUCACAGGAUCACAGCUAGGUGAACAACCUUAUUCUUUAGGAACCUUAAAAGCCCGAAAACUUGUUGCUUCCAAUAAAGUAAAAUGAAAGACGAAAGUUGUCAGGAAGCAAAUAAUUUUCCUGCAGUUCCUUCUUGAAUCCUCAAGAGCAUGGCUGCCUUACAGUACCAUGUCUCUUUUUUUCCAUUAUACCUUGAUGCUCGCCAGAUAACCAAAAAUGUAAGUCUACCAGCUUGUGGCUACAGAUACAGUUACUAUAGUAACAUUUAUAAACACUAAUUUCACUACACUUGCAGCACUGCUGCCUGCUAGAAGCUGCUUAGAAAGAAACCACUCUAACUGUGAAUAGACUCUGCAGCAUCCAUAAAAACACAAGGACAACAUCCAAUGACUAUGUGACUUAGUACUCCUGGGAGCAAGUGACUUCUGGAUGAUACACAGUGAAGAAAUCAAGCCUCUGCACAGGUUACUCCCUAUGACUGCUUUUUUCCUUGCUGAUUCCCAUACUGAGAGCAAAAGGAGGUUCAGCAGAAUUAGUGUGACACCUUACUGCAGUGUUCAAGACAGUGACAGAGACAACCAGCAAAAUGAUUGUCAUAUGUAAGCCAUAUUGAGACAUAAUGAGACUGUAAGUUAAACAACUGAAUCAACACAGU